ensembl:lncRNA
CAUACUUUUAACAUUUAUUCUUAAGCAACUAUAGAUUCACAUGUAGUUAUAAGAAUAAUACAGUGAAAUCUUAUUCACUCUUUACCUAGUUUUCCCCAACAGUACAUCUUCCAGCACUUCCAAAACAGUCAAGAUACGGAAUAUUCCCAUCCCUCCCAGGAUCCUUCUAUAAUUCUGUUCUAUAGCUGCUUUAAAAAAAUUACCACAACUUAAUGGCUUAAAAUACAAAUUACUAUCCGACGGUUCUAGUAGUCCGUUAUCUGAGAUGGGUCUCAUUGGGCUAAAAUAAAAGUGUUAGUGAGGUUGUGUAUUAUUCUGGCACCUCUAGAGAAGAAUCCAUAUUCUUAAUUUUUCUAGCUUCUCCAAGCUGCCUGCAUUCCUUAGCUCUUGGGCACCUCCCAUAUUCAAAGCCAGCCGUGUCCUGUAGAAUCUUUCUCACACUCUAUCGCUGUGACGCUGCUUGUUCAGCAUUCGUCUUCCACACUCUUUAAAAGCCCCUCGUGACUACAUUGGACCCACUCAGACGAUACCAGAUCAUCUGUUUCAUUUAAGAGCCUUUUCCCAAGAAUAUAUCCAGAAGCUUCCAAGAUGGUAUGAAAGAUGUAUUGUGAUAUUAAACCAAUCAAAUGAAUAUUUAAUGAGUAACUAGCACGUGUGCAACUGACAGACCAAUGGAGGAAAAAACAUGAAACCCAUUUGGGACAAGAAGAGAAUAAUUCAGGACAGAAUCCUCAGAGUUGGGCUCCCUUCCUGUCUGCCUACUCAAACACCCAAGCCUUACAGAUGAACUCCAAGGCGGGUACUUCUAUAGUCUCCACUCAACAGAUGGAGGAAAGCCCAGAGAGCCACAGAAAUCCAUAUACUAUGGCAAAAGAAGGCAGCAUUGACUGUGAAGAACUUAAGAGACAUCUCAAAUUACUCAAGAAGAGAAGAGGGAAAAUGCUAGGCUGUGUAAGAAUCGAAGCUAAAGUGAGGUUCUGUAUUCAAGACCACUCUAUGAUCUUUAGCACUUCUCCUUCUUGCCACCACGUGAAGAAGGAUGUGUUUGCUUCACCUUCUACCAUGAUUGUAAGAUUCCUGAGGCCUUCCCAACCAUGAAGAACUGAAAGCACCUACUUACUUGUCCUGAUGGAGCUGCAUUAGAAUGGUAACUUCAAAAAUUACAAAUUUAUCCUGAAGGCAUUGUGACUUUGAGGACACCUACGACUUAGAGUUCAGCAAGAAAAAAACCCUAUGCCAUAUUAACUAUUCAAAUGGAUUGGUUGUUUCCUUAUAAUGGCUUUUAAAUAAAGAUUUGCCCUCUGUUCCUUUUCAUUAUUUAUUUGAGUAAAGGAAAUAUAACAUUGCAUCAUGGAAACUAUAAGACAUGGCCUUAUGCCUGAAGAAUGCAUAUAUGAUUUAUAUAAUGGGUCAAUAGUUUUGUAAGAACACAAUAAAUGGCUACUCUAUUUAGGAUGGACUGAUAAAUUGCAUUGGUGGAAGUAAAUUAUAUGAGAGUACUUAUCUUUAUUCAUGAAUGACAGGGCAGAUCUUUCCUGAACUUACUGGAGAGGGACACAUAUGGCUGAAACCCCCAGUGAAGAGAUGUGCCAGGCAGCUUGAGAGACAUCUGAGCUUGGAAGCAAAGCUAAGAAUUUGUCAGAUUGCAUGAAUAUAGCAUCUUUCCUGGUAUUUAUACCACCCACUGUCUGUCAUAAUGAAUCAAGCUCAGAUUAAAUUCUGUUAACUUUCAGAUAUAAAUGUUAUAGUUUACUCUUUUUUACUUUUCAAAGUAAAACAGCAGAAGAGGGAGAAAUUGCUUUUAUAGAUUGUUGCUAGGGAAAUCAUUCAGCUGGGCUUUGUCUUUAUGGCCUGUCUGCCUUAUUCUUCUGUAGGUACUCCACAAAGAGUUACCCUGUGGUUUACUCUCAAGUUCAAAUUGGGAAUUAUACUAUGGGUUUUAAAAUUAUUUUUAGAAAGUGAAUAUAUUAUCUGAUUUCAUUUACAACAUCACAGCACUUAUUCACUGUUGAGCUAGUUAUUUAUUUAUAGGAAUCUACUGGCCCAGAUUCUUAAAAAGGUGAAAAAACUUGUAAACCUCUGAGGCUUUCUUCCUUAACAGGUUUGUUAAUCUCAUCAAUUCAGAGCUUUUGUUUAAAAAAAAAUGGCUUGUUUUUCUUUUUCAUAAGCCUUCACAAACAUUAUUCUCCAUUUGCUCUUCAAUUUAGCCUGAAUCAGUA